AUUCCAGCUCCAAAAGCGUAUAUUAAAGUUGUUGCAGUUAAAAAGCUCGUAGUUGGAUUUCUGGCCUUGAGUACCUGGACCGCCGCUUUAUGCGUGUGAGUGCCGGAGUGUUCAGGCCAUCCUUCCAGGGAGCCCCCCGCCACUUCAUUGGGGCAGGUGUGGUGAUCUGGAUCAUUUACUUUGAAAAAAUUAGAGUGUUUAAAGCAGGCCUCGCUAUGAAUACAGCAGCAUGGAAUAAUAAUUUAGGACUUUGGUUCUAAUUUGUUGGUUUCUAGGACUAAAGUAAUGAUUGAUAGGGAUAGUUGGGGGUGCUAGUAUUCAGCGGCCAGAGGUGAAAUUCUUGGAUUCGCUGAAGACUAACUAAUGCGAAAGUAUUCACCAAGGAUGUCUUCAUUA
rnacentral:rRNA from 1 species